CAGCCGCCACGGUAAUACGUAGGUCCCGAGCGUUGUCCGGAUUUAUUGGGCGUAAAGCGAGCGCAGGCGGUUUGAUAAGUCUGAAGUUAAAGGCUGUGGCUCAACCAUAGUUCGCUUUGGAAACUGUCAAACUUGAGUGCAGAAGGGGAGAGUGGAAUUCCAUGUGUAGCGGUGAAAUGCGUAGAUAUAUGGAGGAACACCGGUGGCGAAAGCGGCUCUCUGGUCUGUAACUGACGCUGAGGCUCGAAAGCGUGGGGAGCGAACAGGAUUAGAUACCCCCGUAGUCCCUGUCUCUUAUACA
rnacentral:rRNA from 1 species